rnacentral:rRNA from 1 species
GGGAAGUCCGGGGCAGCAGCGGGGGUAAGGCGGAGGGGGCAGGCGUUGUCGGAAGGUACUGGGCGGAAAGCGCGCGUAGGCGGGUUGCCAAGUCCGCGGGGAAAGCCCGAGGCUCAGCCUCGGAGGGUCGGUGGAUACUGGCAGUCUUGAAGGUGCUAGGGGGAGAUGGAAUUACCGGUGUAGCGGUGAAAUGCGUAGAGAUCGGUAGGAACACCAGUGGCGAAGGCGGUCUCCUGGGGCAUUCUUGACGCUGAUGCGCGAAAGCUGGGGGAGCGAACGGGAUUAGAUACCCGGGUAGUC